GGUCUUAUGGCGCAAUUGGUUAGCGCGUCCGACUGUUACUUUACUUCUCUCCUAGAGAAUAAAUAACAUCGGCAUCGGGAGGUUCAAAGUUCGAGUCUUUGUAGGACCG